rnacentral:rRNA from 1 species
AGUCGACGAGGUGCUUUGCACCUAGUGGCGAACGGGUGAGUAACACGUAUCUAACCUACCUUUUAGUGGGGGAUAACAGUUGGAAACGACUGCUAAUACCGCAUACGACACCAUUAUGGCAUCAGAAGGUGUUAAAAGGCCCGUUUGGUCGCUAGAAGAUGGGGAUGCGGCGUAUUAGCUAGUAGGUGGGGUAAUUGCCCACCUAGGCAAUGAUACGUAGCCGAACUGAGGGGUUGAUCGGCCACAUUGGGACUGAGAUACGGCCCACACUCCUACGGGAGGCAGCAGUAGGGAAUUUUUCACAAUGGACGAAAGUCUGAUGAAGCAAUGCCGCGUGAGUGAUGACGGUCUUCCGAUUGUAAAGCUCUGUUGUAAGGGAAGAAUAGGUAAAAGAGGAAAUGCUUUUAUUUUGACGGUACCUUACCAGAAAGCCACGGCUAACUAUGUGUCACCAGCCGCGCUAAUACAUAGGUGGCAAGCGUUAUCCGGAUUUAUUGGGGCGUACAGGGUGCGUAGGCGGUUCGAUAAGUUUGAGGUGAAAUCCCGGGGCUCACCCCCGGGUCGCCUUGAAAACUG